rnacentral:rRNA from 1 species
GACGAACGCUGGCGGCGUGCUUAACACAUGCAAGUCGAGCGGAAAGGCCCUUUCGGGGGUACUCGAGCGGCGAACGGGUGAGUAACACGUGAGUAAUCUGCCCUUGGCUUUGGGAUAACCACCGGAAACGGUGGCUAAUACCGGAUAUGACGGGCUCCGGCAUCGGGGUUCGUGGAAAGUUUUUCGGCCAGGGAUGUGCUCGCGGCCUAUCAGCUUGUUGGUGGGGUAAUGGCCUACCAAGGCUUCGACGGGUAGUCGGCCUGAGAGGGUGACCGGCCACACUGGGACUGAGACACGGCCCAGACUCCUACGGGAGGCAGCAGUGGGGAAUAUUGGACAAUGGGCGGAAGCCUGAUCCAGCAACGCCGCGUGAGGGAUGACGGCCUCGGUUGUAA